GUCAGGAUGGCCGAGCGGUCUAAGGCGCUGCGUUCAGGUCGCAGUCUCCCCUGGAGGCGUGGGUUCGAGUCCCAUUUCUGACA
rnacentral:tRNA from 1 species